rnacentral:rRNA from 1 species
AUGGCAGCGGCGGACGGGUGCGUAACGCGUAGGAACGUGUCUUGAGGUGGGGGACAACCCUGGGAAACUGGGGCUAAUACCGCAUAUGGGCUGAGGCCCAAAGCCGUGAGGCGCCUUGGGAGCGGCCUGCGUCCGAUUAGCUAGUUGGUGGGGUAAGAGCCUACCAAGGCGACGAUCAGUAGCUGGUCUGAGAGGAUGAGCAGCCACACUGGGACUGAGACACGGCCCAGACUCCUACGGGAGGCAGCAGUGGGGAAUUUUCCGCAAUGGGCGAAAGCCUGACGGAGCAACGCCGCGUGAGGGAGGAAGGUCUUUGGAUUGUAAACCUCUUUUCUCAAGGAAGAAGUUCUGACGGUACUUGAGGAAUCAGCCUCGGCUAACUCCGUGCCAGCAGCCGCGGUAAUACGGGGGAGGCAAGCGUUAUCCGGAAUUAUUGGGCGUAAAGCGUCCGCAGGUGGUCAGCCAAGUCUGCCGUCAAAUCAGGUUGCUUAACGACCUAAAGGCGGUGGAAACUGGCAGACUAGAGAGCAGUAGGGGUAGCAGGAAUUCCCAGUGUAGCGGUGAAAUGCGUAGAGAUUGGGAAGAACAUCGGUGGCGAAAGCGUGCUACUGGGCUGUAUCUGACACUCAGGGACGAAAGCUAGGGGAGCGAAAGGGAUUAGAUACCCCUGUAGUCCUAGCCGUAAACGAUGGAUACUAGGCGUGGCUUGUAUCGACCCGAGCCGUGCCGAAGCUAACGCGUUAAGUAUCCCGCCUGGGGAGUACGCACGCAAGUGUGAAACUCAAAGGAAUUGACGGGGGCCCGCACAAGCGGUGGAGUAUGUGGUUUAAUUCGAUGCAACGCGAAGAACCUUACCAAGACUUGACAUGUCGCGAACCC